AAAAAAGGUAAGCUACUAAGAGCGAAUGGUGGAUGCCUUGACUGGUAAAGGCGAUGAAGGACGUACUAGACUGCGAUAAGCUACGGGGAGCUGUCAAGAAGCUUUGAUCCGUAGAUUUCCGAAUGGGGCAACCCAAUGUAUAGAGAUAUACAUUACCUAUAUAGGAGCGAACGAGGGGAAUUGAAACAUCUUAGUACCCUCAGGAAAAGAAAUCAAUAGAGAUUGCGUCAGUAGCGGCGAGCGAAAGCGCAAGAGGGCAAACCCAGUGCUUGCACUGGGGGUUGUAGGACUGCAAUGUGCAAGAGGUGAGUUUAGCAGAACAUUCUGGAAAGUAUAGCCAUAGAGGGUGAUAGUCCCGUAUGCGAAAAACAAACCUUAGCUAGCAGUAUCCUGAGUAGGGCGGGACACGAGAAAUCCUGUCUGAAGCUGGGUCGACCACGAUCCAACCCUAAAUACUAAUACCAGAUCGAUAGUGCACAAGUACCGUGAGGGAAAGGUGAAAAGAACUGAGGUGAUCAGAGUGAAAUAGAACCUGAAACCAUUUGCUUACAAUCAUUCAGAGCCCUAUGUAGCAAUACAGGGUGAUGGACUGCCUUUUGCAUAAUGAGCCUGCGAGUUGUGGUGUCUGGCAAGGUUAAGCAAACGCGAAGCCGUAGCGAAAGCGAGUCUGAAUAGGGCGCUUAGUCAGAUGCUGCAGACCCGAAACGAAGUGAUCUAUCCAUGAGCAAGUUGAAGCUAGUGUAAGAACUAGUGGAGGACUGAACCCAUAGGCGUUGAAAAGCCCCGGGAUGACUUGUGGAUAGGGGUGAAAGGCCAAUCAAACUUCGUGAUAGCUGGUUCUCUCCGAAAUAUAUUUAGGUAUAGCGUUGUGUCGUAAUAUAAGGGGGUAGAGCACUGAAUGGGCUAGGGCAUACACCAAUGUACCAAACCCUAUCAAACUCCGAAUACCUUAUAUGUAAUCACAGCAGUCAGGCGGCGAGUGAUAAAAUCCGUCGUCAAGAGGGAAACAACCCAGACUACCAGCUAAGGUCCCUAAAUCUUACUUAAGUGGAAAACGAUGUGAAGUUACUUAAACAACCAGGAGGUUGGCUUAGAAGCAGCCAUCCUUUAAAGAAAGCGUAAUAGCUCACUGGUCUAGUGAUUUUGCGCGGAAAAUAUAACGGGGCUAAAGUAAGUACCGAAGCUGUAGACUUGCGCACAACUUAGAUUAUUUAAGUUUAGAAUAUGAGAAACUAAGUUAUAUGUUUAGUUAUAUUUUUACUGAUUUUUAUAGAGUAAAGAUAGAAAUAAAACUUAGUAAAAUCAGUAAAAAUAUUCUUAGACUAAAGUUAAGUAGUUUAAGUUGUGUGCAAGUGGUAGGAGAGCGUUCUAUUUGCGUCGAAGGUAUACCGGUAAGGAGUGCUGGAGCGAAUAGAAGUGAGCAUGCAGGCAUGAGUAGCGAUAAUUAAUGUGAGAAUCAUUAACGCCGUAAACCCAAGGUUUCCUACGCGAUGCUCGUCAUCGUAGGGUUAGUCGGGUCCUAAGUCGAGUCCGAAAGGGGUAGACGAUGGCAAAUUGGUUAAUAUUCCAAUACCAACAUUAGUGUGCGAUGGAAGGACGCUUAGGGCUAAGGGGGCUAGCGGAUGGAAGUGCUAGUCUAAGGUCGUAGGAGGUUAUACAGGCAAAUCCGUAUAACAAUACUCCGAGAACUGAAAGGCUUUUUGAAGUCUUCGGAUGGAUAGAAGAACCCCUGAUGCCGUCGAGCCAAGAAAAGUUUCUAAGUUUAGCUAAUGUUGCCCGUACCGUAAACCGACACAGGUGGGUGGGAUGAGUAUUCUAAGGCGCGUGGAAGAACUCUCUUUAAGGAACUCUGCAAAAUAGCACCGUAUCUUCGGUAUAAGGUGUGGUUCGCUUCGUAUUAGGAUUUACUCCGAAAGCGAAGAAACUUACAACAAAGAGUCCCUCCCGACUGUUUACCAAAAACACAGCACUCUGCUAACUCGUAAGAGGAUGUAUAGGGUGUGACGCCUGCCCGGUGCUCGAAGGUUAAUUGAUGGGGUUAGCAUUAGCGAAGCUCUUGAUCGAAGCCCGAGUAAACGGCGGCCGUAACUAUAACGGUCCUAAGGUAGCGAAAUUCCUUGUCGGUUAAAUACCGACCUGCAUGAAUGGCGUAACGAGAUGGGAGCUGUCUCAAAGAGGGAUCCAGUGAAAUUGUAGUGGAGGUGAAAAUUCCUCCUACCCGCGGCAAGACGGAAAGACCCCGUGGACCUUUACUACAGCUUGACACUGCUAUUUGGAUAAGAAUGUGCAGGAUAGGUGGGAGGCUUUGAGUAUAUGACGCCAGUUGUAUAUGAGCCAUUGUUGAGAUACCACUCUUUCUUAUUUGGGUAGCUAACCAGCUUGAGUUAUCCUCAAGUGGGACAAUGUCUGGUGGGUAGUUUGACUGGGGCGGUCGCCUCCCAAAUAAUAACGGAGGCUUACAAAGGUUGGCUCAGAACGGUUGGAAAUCGUUCGUAGAGUAUAAAGGUA
rnacentral:rRNA from 1 species